UACAGAGGUCUCGAGCGUUGUUCGGAUUCAUUGGGCGUAAAGGGCGCGUAGGCGGCGGGGUAAGUCGGGUGUGAAAUUUCGGAGCUUAACUCCGAAACUGCAUUCGAUACUGGCGUGCUUGAGGACUGGAGAGGAGACUGGAAUUCAUGGUGUAGCAGUGAAAUGCGUAGAGAUCAUGAGGAAGACCAGUGGCGAAGGCGGGUCUCUGGACAGUUCCUGACACUGAGACACGAAGGCCAGGGGAGCAAACGGG
rnacentral:rRNA from 1 species